AUGAACAUUGCCCUCCUGACUCGAUGGCUAUGGAGGAUCGCCAACGGUGAGGGUGGUCUCUUGCUGCAGAUUAUCCGAAACAAAUACCUCCGCGGUCAGCCUCUCGCCUUCUGCCAGAGGGCGGGUGGCUCCCAGUUCUGGCAGUCCCUCAUCCAGUUGCUCCCUGUCCUCCUGAUUGGGACCUCCAUCGAUGUUGGAUCGGGAUCCUCCACGCUUUUCUGGUUCGACAGGUGGGCGGGUGAAACCCCCUUUGCGGCGCACUUUCCGGACUUGUUCGAUAUCGCUAUGGACCCUCGGGUCUUCGCGGAGACGGCCCUUAUUGACUUAGGGUGUCUCGCGUUUCGAUGGCCAUUUGGGCCCACGGACUCACAUGCGUGGAUUGAACUCCUGGACAUUGGUGCUCUUCACGAGCCAGACCUCACACGCCCACAUGAUCUCGUGUCCUGGCGCCUUGAACCUUCGGGCACCUUUUCCACCAAAUCCCUAUACCGGGCCAUCAUCCCCACUCCUGCUCCGGAGCCAUUUAUCGCGAUCUGGGAGAUCUGACUCCCCCUCAAGAUCCGGAUUUUCCUAUGGCAAUGGAUCCGUGGGCGCGUCCCGUCCGGUGUGGAAGUGCUCAAACGCAAUGGCCCCAGAGACGGGUUAUGCCCCUUGUGUGGAACGCCUGAGGAUUCCAAUCACAUCUUCUUCUCCUGCGUCCCGGCCCUGUUCCUUUGGAGUUGCCUCCGCGAGACAGUCGGCGGUCAUUGGUCCAACACCAACUUGCCGGACCUCUUAGUCGAGCUUCAGGCUUCACCCCCUUCUAGCCGCCACAUUAGGUGGCUGGAGAUUGGGGUCCUUGCCUGGACUUUGUGGAUGGUUCAAAAUGAGAUUGUGAUUCAAUGUGCUCCCCUUCGACGUGCGACUGACGCAAUCUUUAAAAUGUGUGGUUCCUUGCAGCUAUGGCGGUCACUUAGCCGCCCCCAGGAUCACGACGCCAUCAAUGUCAUCAUUAUUGAUCUGCGUGCGAUGGAUAUUCGCUUGGCGCCACCGUUCCCUCCGCCACCUCUGGAGCCGGACUAG
rnacentral:rRNA from 1 species